AUUGAACGCUGGCGGCAGGCCUAACACAUGCAAGUCGAGCGAGAGGCGGACGGGUGAGUACGGUCAGGUAAACUGCCUGAUGGAGGGGGAUCACGACUGGAAACGGUAUAUAAUACGGCAGUCCAUAAGAUGUGCCCAGAUGGGAAUAGCUAGUAGGUGGGGUAACGGCUCACCUAGGCGACGAGCCCUAGCUGGUCUGCGAGGAGGACCAGCCACCAUGGAACUUGGACACGGUCCAGACUCCUACGGUAGGCAGCAGUGGGGAAUAUUGCACAAUGGGCGCAAGCCUGAUGCAGCCAUGCCGCGUGUAUGAAGAAGGCCUUCGGGUUGUAAAGUACUUUCAGCGGGGAGGCGUUACCCGCAGAAGAAGCACCGGCUAACUCCGUGCCAGCAGCCGCGGUAAUUC
rnacentral:rRNA from 1 species